rnacentral:misc_RNA from 1 species
AGAAUGUUUGAUGGUCUAAUGGAACCCAGUUCUUGAUGAUCUUGAACUCCGGUUCUUGCAGCAGCAGCUACUGGCGGCUUAUUAGAACUUGGGGGGUUAACUGGUUCAGUGGAUUGUUCUUGUGUAGUUGUUGUUUCUUUGAAAAGAUCUUCUCUAUAUGUUUUUCUCAUAUAAUUCUCAUCGGAAACAAGAGUUUGAGGAUAAAGCUGGUGGUGGAAUCCUAAAAUUGUAUUGUUGGAACCAAUA